rnacentral:rRNA from 1 species
AUUGAACGCUGGCGGCAUGCUUUACACAUGCAAGUCGAACGGUAACAGGGUGCUUGCACCGCUGACGAGUGGCGAACGGGUGAGUAAUGCGUCGGAACGCACCGAGUAAUGGGGGAUAACGCAGCGAAAGCUGUGCUAAUACCGCAUACGCUCUGAGGAGGAAAGCGGGGGACCUUCGGGCCUCGCGUUAUUCGAGCGGCCGACGUCUGAUUAGCUAGUAGGUGAGGUAAGAGCUCACCUAGGCGACGAUCAGUAGCGGGUCUGAGAGGAUGAUCCGCCACACUGGGACUGAGACACGGCCCAGACUCCUACGGGAGGCAGCAGUGGGGAAUUUUGGACAAUGGGCGCAAGCCUGAUCCAGCCAUGCCGCGUGUCUGAAGAAGGCCUUCGGGUUGUAAAGGACUUUUGUCAGGGAGGAAAUCCUUAGCGCUAAUACCGUUGAGGGAUGACAGUACCUGAAGAAUAAGCACCGGCUAACUUCGUGCCAGCAGCCGCGGUAACAC